UCUGAAACUUUCCUUGUAUGGAAUCUUAUUUCGAGACGGCCUCGCAACCUGAUCCUACCACUGACGCUCACACCUUCCUCCAAUUCAACACCCAAGCCGAGUCCAAGUUCGAGUAUACGGUCAUCCCACGCGACCCUAUUUGUUCUUUGCCGACACCCUCCGGUGCCACCACAGCCGAGUGCCACUUAGACGCUGUUGCCUCCUCUUCUCCUUUUAGCGCUUUCAAAGGCGCUAGCCGUGGCGUAAUGAGUAAUAACAACAGUAAUAGCAACGGUAUUAGCAAUAAUGAGGCCAUGGUUGCUGCUUUAGUGACGGGGAUUAGUGGAUUAUUAUUUUAGGAGACCGUUGGCGAUGAGAAUGGCGGUUAUGAGUAUGGAAAUGGGGGGUUUUGUCGGGCAUGCUGUCGGUAUUGCCGAGUUUCAAACCCGGUUUGCGUGGUCCGCUGUAAUGUUCCUUCGUGUAGAAACUGGUUUCGUAACUCUAGAGGGAAUACAUCAGGCUCACAUAUUGUUAAUCAUCUCGUUUCACAUUUGUUGGAAAGGAGAAUAAUGGAUUUGCAACAUAAUGCAAUGGUUGUAAAACUUUGUGCAAAAUCAAAAGAAGCUGUUAGUUCUCCUAUUGAACAUUUGACCCUGUAUUAUCAGGUACGACAUUUUGACACAUUUGAGAAGAGUGAACUUCACAAGUUACAGCAAUCGAAAGAUGAACAAGGUUGGGAUAUGCCCUUUGUCAGCAAUGACAACCAAUUAAUUAAAUGGAUUUUUUCCAAUGAAAAUCUUUAACAGAUAGUGCUUACCGAGUGUAGAGGGUUCUUUUAGUAAGGUGAGGAGACGUUACAAUCUAGCAAAACGAGAUGUCAUAGAGAGAUGGUGAAGACGAAGAUCGGAGUAGGCUUUGGAAAACAAGUGCAGUAGCAGGUGGUGGUGAUGGACACAAUAAAGGGCUGAGAAAGAUAGAAAGCUACUGUGGUUCUUAUGAUUGUAGAAAGAGUUGCAGAGAGAAUUUUAGGGCGUUAAGUUUGUCAGAAGAUCAAAAAGUCCCCCUAAAUGAGACAUUCAAACCUCUCUUUUAGACCUUGGAAAAGGAAGUUAAAAGGGAAACGGUUAUGGAAAGGAAGUGGGCUUGAAUGUGCUAAAAUGGUGGAUAGUGGGAUUGGAAGUGAUUACUUGAUUGUGAGAAAAUGGAAGGUAACUUAAAUAGAUAAGGGGUAUAACGAGGGUUAAUGAGAGUUGCACUAACUUUUUAGCAACGAUUGUUCAUUAAAGAAAUAAAGAGGAAGUACUUGCAUUCCCAAAGAAAGGUUAAGAAGAGAUUCUUCACAAUUUCCACAUAUAAGCCUCCAAGCCGGACUUUCCAGGACAUUUCAAAAGCGGAAUAAUCUAGCAAUCCUACCAACCUUCUAAGGUUAUUCCCAAAAAGUCUUUCCCAAUAUGAUAUUGUUCCCAACAUAGAGUUGUUCAUGAAGGUAGUCAUUUCACAACAUGGAGUUGUUCCCAAAAGGUGCUCUUGCAGUGAAUGAUAUUUACGGAACUACUAUUUAUAGAACAGUUAGUAACAAAAAAACAAGCAUCUACACUUAGACUUUACCUCUUGCCUGAAAUUGAAAAUUGUAACUUCCCCUCAAAUUUAUCAAAUGAUACAACAGCUUGUUAUUGUGACCUUAAAUUUACAGGUGAGUAAUCAAGCAGUGAUGAGAAAAAGUACAAAGCACUGAAACGUGCAACAGAGAGGGAAAUAUCUCAAAGUGCUGAUGCCAUUUGUUGCACCUGUGUCGGAGCUGGAGAUCCUAGGUUCCACCAGGUCUCAGGCAACGGAGCCUGUGUAUAUCAUCCCUUUGGUUCUUGGAGCGAAGCAGGUAAUGGACCGACAAAUACCUGCUUGGUAGUUUAUUGAUUGGGGAGAGCAUUACAAGAUAAGGUAUUGUCGAAGUAGGCCAUUUAUCUGACACACGGAUGAAUCCCAUUAUAGAUAUAGAGCAGCAGUUACAAGUGCAAACUUUUGUACAGCUGGGGAAAAUGACUCCCACCCCUUCACCCCUUCCUCACAUGUAAUUAAUACCCUUUCAGACUUGAUACUAGAUAUAAUCGAACGAGGUGUCUAAUAAUCUAGUCCUAGAUUCAAAUUAGCACUGCCAAUGGCUCAUAUCAAUCGAGUCACUGGGCAUGUCAAUGUCGUUUUUGUAAAAAGGAAAAGCUCUGCCCACUCUUCCCUGGCCCCAAGCAGGAACGACAUUCAUAUUUCAUCAUAUGCUUGGACAUCUGGGACCCACCUACUCCACAAGGCAGCAGGCAGGGGAUUAAAAAACGGUUUGAACUGUUUUUCAAUGCCCCCCGACGUGUAAAACUAAAACACCCCGGCUUUUAUCUUAAAUUUCAGUUUUACCCUUGCAUUUCUCUGCCGUUAGGCUU